rnacentral:rRNA from 1 species
UACGUAGGGCGCGAGCGUUAAUCGGAAUUACUGGGCGUAAAGCGUGCGCAGGCGGUUUUGUAAGUCAGAUGUGAAAGCCCCGGGCUCAACCUGGGAACUGCGUUUGAAACUGCAAGGCUAGAGUGUAGCAGAGGGGGGUAGAAUUCCACGUGUAGCAGUGAAAUGCGUAGAGAUGUGGAGGAAUACCAAUGGCGAAGGCAGCCCCCUGGGUUAACACUGACGCUCAUGCACGAAAGCGUGGGGAGCAAACAGG